UACGUAGGGGGCAAGCGUUAUCCGGAUUCACUGGGUGUAAAGGGAGCGUAGACGGCGACGCAAGUCUGGAGUGAAAGCCCGGGGCCCAACCCCGGGACUGCUCUGGAAACUGCGGCGCUGGAGUACGGGAGGGGCAGGCGGAAUUCCUGGUGUAGCGGUGAAAUGCGUAGAUAUAUGGAGGAACACCGGUGGCGAAAGCGGCUCUCUGGCCUGUAACUGACACUGAGGCUCGAAAGCGUGGGGAGCAAACAGG
rnacentral:rRNA from 1 species